UUCGCCACGUCGAUCUGCUCAUUUUGUGAGAGCAGUUUGCCGAUAGAUUCGCGAAUAGAAGGAUGCCAGCUCACGGCGCGACUCACGGCAUCGGUCAGCGUCAGAGUACCGGGGGCGGCGGGGCUUAGCGGCAGAUCGGCAACGGAUCCAUCCAGGUUCGGAAGCAUCUGGCUGGAGGCCAGUCCUUCCGACGUAAUAACCUGAGGUUCAUCCUCGGCAUUCCCCCGCAUGGAACAGAGCGUUAAUGCCAGCAGUAAUGCAACGGGCAUGACUUUUCCCAUAUCUCAUCCCUUUCAAAAUACAACCGUUACGGCAGUUGCUCCGGGCGUCGUGGCGCCCGGAGCUUUA
rnacentral:sRNA from 1 species